GCAGAGCCAUGGAAGAAAUACUCCUCAGAUAAUUUUGGUUUAGUCCUCUCCCCAGUUUAAGCCUGCUGUGCAAGCUGGCUGAAAGAAAUCUUAUAAAAUGGAGUUCUCGCUCAUAAUCAGAAGAUAGCAAAUGGCAUACAAAAGCAAGGCAGUUCAAAUUUCCCAGCUUCAGCCCAGCGACUAACCCUCAUCAAGCAUUGUUCAGAACAAUUUUCCAACUCAUUGACGACAUUCUCCAGUUUCUGCUGAGUGAUUUUGCAAAUUGCUUUCAUCAUCCUUGCUCCAAGCUCUUCCAAACAGUGUGCCAUCAACAAUGAAAGGACCUGCCUAGCGGGUGGCUCACAGUGAACCCUCUGUUUAUGCUUGCAGAAAAAAGAAAGAAAAAUAAACAAAAGAAAAAGAGAAGAAAUCAAGGAAAAAGGAAGAAAAGAAAGAAAACAUCUAUAAGGGUAAAGUCUUGGAAUCUGCAAAUUUAACAGUUGCUUCAAAAUCAAUGCAACCACGGGGUCAGAAAGAAGAACGCUUCUGCCAGAAGACAGAACAAAGAUUCCAUGCACUGAAAGUUAAGGCUGCCACCUGGCCACUUUGGGCUCCUCAUGCUUCUGAAACAAUAGGCAAAGAAGAGAGUUUCACUUGUGUCUGGGUGGCUGAUCUCAAUUACCAAGGGGAAACUGGACAACGACCUCACCAGGGAAGUACGGAGGAGCCUCCCUGGCAUACAGGAGGAGAUCCUUUAGGGCAUCUCUUAGGAUUAUCAUGACCUGUGAUAAAAGUCAAUGGAAACUACAAUCAAUCAAUCCAGGCAGUACUACUAAUGUCCCUGACCCUUCAGAAAUGAAGGUUUGGGGUCACUUCACGAAGUAAAUAACCAUGACCAGUUGAAGGCAAAGGGAACAGAGAAACCACAGUGGAAGAACACAUCAGCUGCAACCAUGUGACCAGUUACAGAAACGAGGACUGUAAUUGUCAUAAAUAUUUCUUCCUUGUUAUGAACACAUUUAUGUGUGUGUAUAUAUAGCAAAUAUAUUUGUUUUCUUCCUACCCUUGUCUCUGUAUUAUAUAAUAUUAUAUAACAUUGACUUUACAUCAUAAUAUUAAAGGA